rnacentral:lncRNA from 1 species
CGAGAUCUCGCCACUGCACUCCAGCCUAGUGACAGCGUGAGACUCCGUCUAAUAAAAAAAAGAAAAUGAAAGCAUACUGGAGAAUGGAGAACAUUCAGAGCCACUUAAAGCUCAAGAGAGUCUGCUUCAGGAGCUCAAACAAAAAGAUGCAUGAUUAACAACAGGUUCAACUUAUCUCAUGGCCCAGCUUUCCCCUGAAGACUCUGCAAUACGGAGGUUAUGGACCUGAUCCGAGGAAGUUGGGAAGUCCACAUGAAACCGAUAUCUAUGGAAGAAGGAGAGAAAAACUGCCAUGGUGACUCCAUGUUAAUUGAAAGUGGUUUUAAACCAAUCAAAGAUGAAGAAACAGUGACCUCGGAAGAUGGAAGGACUUGUCUAAGGCUCCACAAUUAGGAAGUCUCUAGACAUAACUCUCUUGGUUCUCCUGUUCCUUCUCUAUUUCCUCCAGAAGCUGCUCUGUAUUUGACAAGAAGUAGAUAUUAGUCAAGAUUCAUUUAUUUUACUUUUGCUUUCUUUUUUGUCUUUUUUUGGUGGGGGGAUACCAUCUACUUCCUGGCUUAUAUGAUCAACUUUAUAUGAAUAGGAAAGACCAUGGACUUAGUUGUCAGUCCUGGAUUUGAAUAUUUGAUCAUUCACGUUGUAUAACUUACAAAUAUGUCACACUGAUUUUAGACAAGUUAAUGGUCAUUUAUUUAUUGUAUUAUUUUUAUUUGUUUCAAGAUGGAGUUUCGCUCCUCUUGCCUAGGCUAGAUUGCAAUGGUGAGAUCUCGGCUCACUGCAGCCUCUGUUUCCUGGGUUCAAGUGAUUCUCCCACCUCAGCCUCCUGAGUACUUGGGAUUACAGAUGCGCACCACUACGCCCAGCUAAUUCUGUGUUUUCAGUAGAGAUUGGGUUUCACCAUGUUGGCCAAGCUGAUCUCGAAUUCCUGAUGUCAGGCCAAUUGCCCGCCUUGGCCUCCCUAAGUGCUGGGAUUACAGGUGUGAGCCACUGCGCCUGGCCAGUUAAUGGUCAUUUAAAUGAUCUGUGAACCCAAAUGGCUUCAGGGAUGAAGGAGUUAAGGUUGUAACUUAUGAUAAUAUUGAACAUUAAAAAUCAAUGACCAAAGCUUCCAACUCAAGAAACUAAAAAUAGAAUAGCAAAUCAAAUCAAGGUAAUGUACAAAAAGGGAAAUAAUAUUGAUAGGAAUAAAAAAAUCAAUGAAAUAUAAAUUAAAUUUAUA